AUUGAACGCUGGCGGCAUGCCUUACACAUGCAAGUCGAACGGCAGCACGGGAGCAAUCCUGGUGGCGAGUGGCGAACGGGUGAGUAAUGUAUCGGAACGUGCCCAGUCGUGGGGGAUAACGCAGCGAAAGCUGUGCUAAUACCGCAUACGAUCUAUGGAUGAAAGCGGGGGAUCGCAAGACCUCGCGCGAUUGGAGCGGCCGAUAUCAGAUUAGGUAGUUGGUGGGGUAAAGGCCCACCAAGCGUGCGAUCUGUAGCUGGUCUGAGAGGACGGUCAGCCACACGGGGACUGAGACACGGCCCAGACUCAUACGGGGGGCAGCAGUGGGGAAUUUUGGACAAUGGGCGCAAGCCUGAUCCAGCAAUGCCGCGUGCAGGAUGAAGGCCUUCGGGUUGUAAACUGCUUUUGUACGAGACGAAAAGACUCGCUCUAAUACAGUGGGUACAUGACGGUAUCGUAAGAAUAAGCACCGGCUAACUACGUGCCAGCCGCCGCCGUAA
rnacentral:rRNA from 1 species